GACGAACGCUGGCGGCGUGCUUAACACAUGCAAGUCGAACGGAAAGGCCCUGCUUUUGUGGGGUGCUCGAGUGGCGAACGGGUGUGUAACACGUGAGUAUCCUGCCCUUGACUUUGGGAUAACUUCAGGAAACUGGGGCUAAUACCGGAUAGGAGCUCCUGCUGCAUGGUGGGGGUUGGAAAGUUUCGGCGGUUGUGGAUGGACUCGCGGCUUAUCAGCUUGUUGGUGGGGUAGUGGCUUACCAAGGCUUUGACGGGUAGCCGGCCUGAGAGGGGGACCGGGCACAUUGGGACUGAGAUACGGCCCAGACUCCUACGGGAGGCAGCAGUGGGGAAUAUGGCACAAUGGGCGGAAGCCUGAUGCAGCAACGCCGCGUGCGGGAUGACGGCCUUCGGGUUGUAAACCGCUUUCGCCUGUGACGAAGCGUGAGUGACGGUAAUGGGUAAAGAAGCACCGGCUAACUACGUG
rnacentral:rRNA from 1 species